CGGCUCCGGCCGUGAAUAGAGUGGCGAACGGGUGAGUAACACGUGACCAACCUGCCCCCUACCCCGGGAUAACGCAAGGAAACCUGCGCUAAUACCGGAUACUCCUUCCCCUGCUCCUGCAGGGGUCGGGAAAGCCCAGACGGUAGGGGAUGGGGUCGCGGCCCAUUAGGUAGACGGCGGGGCAACGGCCCACCGUGCCUGCGAUGGGUAGCCGGGUUGAGAGACCGACCGGCCACAUUGGGACUGAGAUACGGCCCAG
rnacentral:rRNA from 1 species